rnacentral:misc_RNA from 1 species
GGAAGGAUCAUUAAAGGAUAAAAAAACCCAAAAUAACAGGGGCGAAGGUUGGUUUAGGGGGAUUCUUCCCUCUUUUCUUUCCCGAGCUCUUGCUAUAAUUAAAAAAAAAAAAAAAAAAAAACAAAGUCCCACAGAUAUUUGCCCAGUGGGUUCGCUCUAUAAUAGUUAAGCGGGUAUCCCCUAGCUUUCUUAGUGAUUCGAAAGCUACGGUCCCCUAACUUUCUUAGUGAUAAGAAAGUUACGGGAGUCCCCUUAAUAUUUAAGCGGGUAUCCCCCUAGCUUUCUUAGUGAUUCGAAAGCUACGGGAGUCCCCUUAAUUGAGCGGGUAUCCCCUAGCUUUCUUAGUGAUUCGAAAGCUACGGUCCCCUUACUUUCUUAGUGAUUCGAAAGUUACGGGAGUCCCGCUUAAUAGUUGAGUGGUAUCCUCUUUACCUUUCUUAGGGAUUCGAAAGGUAAAGAGGAUCCCCUAAAAACUUUCUUAGUGAUUCGAAAGUUUUUUAGGGGACGCCCCCCCUUAUUUUACUUUCUUAGGGAUUCGAAAGUAACUUUCUUAGGGAUAAGAAAGCUAGGGGGAGUACCCUUAUACUAUAUUAUAGGGCGAGGUAGGCUUUUUUGAAGCGGGUUACCUAGGAAAGAUGGUUUACUAGAGCUCCUCCUUAAAUUCUUUGAGGGUUAAGGAUAUGUAAGAGGGAGAUCUAGUUGCCUGACCGGGUUUCCGCAGCUUUAAAAAAUCUAUCUUAGAAACGAAGUCUGUUGUUAACCCAAAGUACACACGCUCCAUGCAUAAAAAAAAAAAAUGCUUGUACAACUUUUAACGGUGGAUGUCUCGGCUUUCGUAUCGAUGAAGAACGUAGCAAAGUGCGAUAAGUGAUGGAAAUUGCAGAAUACUUCGACUCAUCGAAUCUUUGAAUGCAACCUGCACCCGGGGCUCGUCCUCGGGUCUACCUAUUUGAGCUCGGUUCUUUAAAAAACUCUCUUUUCCCUCAGGGGUUUAGGGGAUAUUGAGGUGUUAACUUUUUUUUUGUUAAAGAAGGUUAUCCCUUUAAAUGGUAAGGAACAAACCUGUCUUCGUACAGCUUUUUCUCUAUUCAAUUACCUUAGCUUACAUUGAUUCCUCACGGUUUCGAUUUAUAUUAGGGUAAGGAGAUUAAGUAGUUGGAGACGGGUCCUUAAAAAACAGAACUAGUCCCUUUAAACAGGGCUAGAAAAAAACACUCUUAAACACCGACUCAAAUUAGGUAGGAUCACCCGCUGAAUUUAAGCAUAUUAUUAGGCGGAGGAAAAGAAAUUAACAAAGAUUCCCUUAGUAAUGGCGAAUGAACAGGGAAAAGCUCACGCUGAAUCUGUGGAGAUUAACUUCUUCACCGAAAUGUAGCGUUUCAACUGGUCUUGUCGGAUGAUCUGGCGGCUAAAGUUCCAUGGAAAGGGACACCAUAGAGGGUGACAGUCCCGUGAGCUGUUGAAGGUUGUUCGUACUAGUGGCCAGCUUGUUGAGUCGGGUUGUUUUGGAGUACAACUCUAAUCGGGUGAUAAACUUCAUCCAAAGCUAAAUAUAGACGAAAGACCGAUAGCGAACAAGUACCGUGAGGGAAAGGUGAAAAGAACUUUGAAAAGAGAGUUAAAAGUACCUGAAACCGUUAAAAGGUAAGCGAUCGGCACCAUCGUUUACAUAACUCAUGAUUCAUCUGUUGAGCUUGUAGGGUCGUGGCUAAGAGAGCCUGUAAAAGGGCCUCUUCUGUUGCAGCCUGAAUGGUUACGCAGUGCACUUUGUGAGCUUAUUUGCAGUCAGGGUCAUCUCUGAUGGGGAUAAUAAGGGCUGUGAGGAGGUACCCAGUCUUUGGCUGGGGAUUCAACUCGCGGAUACCUGUCCUCGUUAGGGAUGAGGGUCUUGAAAGGGAUAACAUUACUGGGGGUAUUCUUGGCUAGGGUCCGGGGGGUCUAAAAAGCCUCCCGAUUCGACGCUUGAACUCGGUAUUGACCUUGACUUAGAUGGAAUCGACCGUCCCGUCUUGAAACACGGACCAAGGAGUUUAAAUUGUGCGCGAGCUUUAGAGUGUGAAAACUCAAGGGCGUAAUGAAAGUGAGCAACGCCUGAAGCCUCCUUCGGGAGGACCUGCAAGGUGAACCGGCACCACCUUAUUAGAUGGUGUCCGAGUAAGAGUGUACAGUUUAAGACCCGAAAGGUGGCGAACUAUGCUUGUGUAGAGUGAAGCCAGAAGAAAUUCUGGUGGAGGCUCGUAGCGGUAUUGACGUGCAAAUCAUUCGUCAAACAUGGGUAUAGCGGCGAAAGACUAAUCGAGCCGCCUAGUAGCUGGUUCCUCU